rnacentral:lncRNA from 1 species
UAGUAGCUAUUAGAAUGAUUAAUUAAUUUUGUUUAGAUCAUUCUGCUGAUAAUACUUUUCAUGUUUAUGGCAAGCUUCCAUAUGAGUUGUCUUCAAGUAUUACAAAACCUAUGUUUGACCAAAUAUAUUGAUUAGCCCUCAUUUCUUAUGAUAUAAAAGGGUACCAAAAUAAGGUCAUUUUGUAAACAAAGACAGGCAGUAACCAACCUGACCAACUUCUCUUCCACUUUCUGUAUAAUUUUAUCUCAAAAGAAAAGAACCCAUCUCAAGAGGAAACCGAACAAUAGUUUUCCAUUUCCAUGGCUUCUUCGUUAUCUUCUUCAUGUUACACAGCUCUGAUAAAGCCAUCUCUCAAGCUCAGUGUUACUCGUCGUCAGCUUUGCAAGUUCGAGCACAGAGAUUUAGAGAN